rnacentral:rRNA from 1 species
CCAGAGAACUUAGCAGAGAUGCUUUGGUGCCUUCGGGAACUCUGAGACAGGUGCUGCAUGGCUGUCGUCAGCUCGUGUUGUGAAAUGUUGGGUUAAGUCCCGCAACGAGCGCAACCCUUAUCCUUUGUUGCCAGCGGCUCGGCCGGGAACUCAAAGGAGACUGCCGGUGAUAAACCGGAGGAAGGUGGGGAUGACGUCAAGUCAUCAUGGCCCUUACGGCCAGGGCUACACACGUGCUACAAUGGCGCAUACAAAGAGAAGCGACCUCGCGAGAGCAAGCGGACCUCACAAAGUGCGUCGUAGUCCGGAUUGGAGUCUGCAACUCGACUCCAUGAAGUCGGAAUCGCUAGUAAUCGUAGAUCAGAAUGCUACGGUGAAUACGUUCCCGGGCCUUGUACACACCGCCCGUCACACCAUGGGAGUGGGUUGCAAAAGAAGUAGGUAGCUUAACCUUCGGGAGGGCGCUUACCACUUUGUGAUUCAUGAUUGGGGUGAAGUCGUAACAAGGUAAGCGUAGCGAG